AACGAUGGGGAUGGAUUGUAGUUUGAAUGGACGGUUGCCAACGCGUUCUGAAGCUCAAAUUUGGGGAAUUUUAAUACAUGCAAAACCGGAAACCUAUGCCUGUCUCCUCGAAAUACUCUCUUUCUCCCUUCCCACGAAAUACCCUCUCUACCCUUCCCAUGGAGCAGCAGUGCCUCGCUCUCGCUCUCGCACCGCUGCUGCACCAGAUCCAUCUCUCUCAAUCUCUGUCAGCUGCAUCAUAUCCAGAGAAGCAGUAGGAAGGCUUGUGCUUCAACAUUAGAUAAGUGGCUCACGAAGACAGAGGGGCGUUCAGUCAGUGAAGACAUUGUUUUGAAGAGAGGAAGAUUCCGUCCCAGAUUAUCAACACUUGACCAUCAAAGGAAGUGCCAGAAUUGCUGCAUUCAAAUCAAUAAAUAUAGAUGUGUUUUUUAAAUUUCAGUUUAUAGAAUGAACAAUGCAGUCAGCUGUUUCAAGAUAAAGUUCAAUUACAAAAUAUUGUGCAAUAAUGUCCACUUCUUAUGA